GGUAGCCUUGGAUUCGUCUGAGGCGAGAGUGGCAAACGGGUGAGUAACACGUAGGUGACCAACCCCGAAGUGGGGAGUAACUACUGGAAACGGUAGCUAAUACCCCAUGUGCUUGGUGAUUCGGUUCACCAUGUAAAGCCGAAAGGCGCUUCGGGACGGGCCUGCGGCCCAUCAGGUUGUUGGUAGGGUAAUGGCCUACCAAGCCUAUGACGGGUAGGGGGCGUGAGAGCGUGAUCCCCCACACUGGCACUGCGACACGGGCCAGACUCCUACGGGAGGCAGCAGUGAGGAAUAUUGAGCAAUGGGCGCAAGCCUGACUCAGCAACGCCGCGUGGGCGAUGAAGGCCUUCGGGUUGUAAAGCCCUUUUCCAGGGGACGAGAAAGGACGGUACCCUGGGAAUAAGGUUCGGCUAACUACGUGCCAGCAGCCGCGGUAAUACGUAGGAACCGAGCGUUAUCCGGAUUCACUGGGCGUAAAGCGCGUGCAGGCGGUUCUAUAAGUCGGACGUGAAAGCUCUUGGCUUAACUGGGAGAGGCCGUUCGAUACUAUAGAGCUUGAGGUCGGGAGAGGGAUGCGGAAUUCCCGGUGUAGUGGUGGAAUGCGUAGAUAUCGGGAGGAACACCAGUGGCGAAGGCGGCAUCCUGGCCCGCACCUGACGCUAAGACGCGAAAGCGUGGGGAGCGAACGGGAUUAGAUACCCCGNGUAGUCCACGCUGUAAACGGUGGAUACUAGGUGUUGGUGGCUAUCGUCAUCAGUGCCGUAGCAAACGCGUUAAGUAUCCCGCCUGGGGACUACGGCCGCAAGGCUAAAACUCAAAGGAAUUGACGGGGGCCCGCACAAGCAGCGGAGCGUGUGGUUUAAUUCGAGGCUACACGAAGAACCUUACCUGGGCUUGACAUGCACGUAGUAGUGAAGCGAAAGCGGAACGACCCUUCGGGGAGCGUGCACGGGUGCUGCAUGGCUGUCGUCAGC
rnacentral:rRNA from 1 species